UACGGGGGGGGCAAGCGUUGUUCGGAAUUACUGGGCGUAAAGGGUGCGUAGGCGGUCCGCUAAGUUGGAUGUGAAAACUCUGGGCUUAACCCAGAGCCUGCAUUCAAAACUGACGGGCUAGAGUUCUGGAGGGGGUAGCGGAAUUCCUGGUGUAGCGGUGAAAUGCGUAGAUAUCAGGAGGAACACCGGUGGCGAAGGCGGCCAUCUGGCUCGGUACUGACGCUCAGGUUCGAAAGCGUGGGGAGCAAACAGG
rnacentral:rRNA from 1 species